UACGUAGGGUGCAAGCGUUGUCCGGAAUUAUUGGGCGUAAAGAGCUUGUAGGCGGUUUGUCGCGUCUGCUGUGAAAUUUCGGGGCUCAACCCCGAACUUGCAGUGGGUACGGGCAGACUAGAGUGUGGUAGGGGAGACUGGAAUUCCUGGUGUAGCGGUGAAAUGCGCAGAUAUCAGGAGGAACACCGGUGGCGAAGGCGGGUCUCUGGGCCGUAACUGACGCUGAGGAGCGAAAGCAUGGGGAGCGAACAGG
rnacentral:rRNA from 1 species